AUUUAUAUCUUCAAGAUGGCAAGCUACACACUUAUGGUUCUUCUCUCGGUCACCACGCUAUUUGUAGCAGUCCUCUCAACGGAAUUCAACGAUGACGAAACAGAGCUCUUGUAUCAGCUUUAUAAUGAAGAGAUGCAAAAACGAGACGACGGCUCUUUAAUGAGUUACCUCUUGCAGAAAAGAGGCAGGGGAGGAUCAGCACGAAAAUGCUUGUACAAACAAAGGGAAUGCACAUGUGACUACAGAUUUGGCCCCGAUAAUGAAAGGAGAUACAUCAGGUGCAACAAGGCAUAAAAGGGACACCGUACUUUUUGUGGAGGCCAGCGAUAUUGACGACCAGCAAUGACGACAUCAAACUACCCUUACUUCUGGAAAUGGAAUCAACGUUCAUCCUUAAAACAAUUAUAACUUGUUGCUUUAGAGACUUUGAUUUCAGAAAUCACUUCCGUCAUUAGUAUAUGAUUAAAACUAAUGGUUUAUGUUAAAUUUAAUGUUCAUAAAGACAGUUAUUCACGAUGCAUUUUAAGCCCAUGUUGGAAUUGUUUAUGCAAAUUGUGUAGUGUAAACAUGAUAAGCUGUGGGGGAAAAGUCCAAUGGUAUCAAGAAGGACCAGUGCGUUCAGUGCCUUUAGUGCGUUGCAACUCGCCACAUUGCGUUUUUAGUUUCAUCUCGCUGACUUGAGGAUUUGAAAUGGAUUAAGCUGAAAACAAGAACAUAAUCAAUUCGCACAUGCAGCUUCUGCCAAAUCCUGUAAGUUGACUCCUUUAUAAACAAUUCAUAUAUUGAAAUGUAUUUCGGAGUUGAGAGGGUUAGGGUUUUCUCGUGUUAACUUAAACUUUUAGAUGUAUCUUGUACUUGGCGAAAUCAAUAUUUAACAUAAUGUGCUGCACGUUGGAGCAUCACACAAUGAAACUAAUAAACUAUAAUCUUUAAUAAGGAUUACAAUGAGGACGCUUGGUGGCAGCAGACUGCAUAAUGAUCUAUAUAUAAACGGAAAUGGGCGAAGGCUCAGAACACCGACUGUUUCUCGGUACUUACUGCUGUCACGCAGAUGUAACUAAAGUCCUUAAGUUAACUACUGAAAUUCUAGCACCUACUUUGAAAUGAAUAGCAUAUUAUACAAUAUUAAUGCUUGUAAUAUGUACUACAUGAUUGUGCCGACCGAAGGGGAAACUUUAAGGCCUUUGGAAACCGAAGCUCUUCUGCGUGCUUCAGCUUGAGUGUCGCAUCGUAACCUGAACUCGUGGCCGUGGUUUCGAGAAGACCCAUGGUCACGAUGACCUUAAUUAGGUCUUAGGAUAUCAACUUUCAAAAAACACUUGUUCUGCACAUUGUCGGUUUGAAUUAAAACGUAAAACCAUUCAAUAUUAAUAUCGUAUUUUUCUAUAACAUUUAUUUAUUACUUGUUGGUUUUUAUUUUGAGGUAAUAAUUUUGUUUUUUAUUACAAUUUUUUUCACAUAAAUUUGUUCUAUUGAUUACGAUUUUUUUUUUUUCUAAUUCACAGUAACCUAUUCUGAUAUUUCAUGGCAACUUUCUAGUUACACAAAUAUCCUGGUUAAAUCAAGAAGCCAUUGCAUUUUUCUAUGAUAAUAGUAGUAGCUUAUAAUGGGUGCGUUCGUUUAGCUUCCCUGG